GCCGAAGUAGCUCAGUCGGUCAGAGCGGCCGCUUCGUAAGCGGUAGGCCGUGGGUUCGAAUCCCACCUUCGGCU
rnacentral:tRNA from 1 species